UGGGGAAUAUUGCACAAUGGGCGAAAGCCUGAUGCAGCAACGCCGCGUGAGUGAUGAAAGGCCUUCGGGUUGUAAAGCUCUGUCUUUUGGGACGAUAAUGACGGUACCAAAGGAGGAAGCCACGGCUAACUACGUGCCAGCAGCCGCGGUAAUACGUAGGUGGCAAGCGUUGUCCGGAUUUACUGGGCGUAAAGGAUGCGUAGGCGGAUUUUUAAGUGAGAUGUGAAAACCCUAAGCUUAACUUGGGGACUGCAUUUCAUACUGGAAAUCUAGAGUGCGGGAGAGGAGAAUGGAAUUCCUAGUGUAGCGGUGAAAUGCGUAGAGAUUAGGAAGAACACCAGUGGCGAAGGCGAUUCUCUGGACCGUAACUGACGCUGAGGCAUGAAAGCGUGGGUAGCAAACAGGAUUAGAUACCCUGGUAGUCCACGCCGUAAACGAUGAGUACUAGGUGUAGGAGGUAUCGACCCCUUCUGUGCCGCAGUUAACACAAUAAGUACUCCGCCUGGGAAGUACGAUCGCAAGAUUAAAAAC
rnacentral:rRNA from 1 species